AACAGUGUUAAGCUGUAUUCCUGUGAUAUCUGGAGAAACAACAACGAUGAAACUUUACGUUCUGGCUUUGCUGAUGGUACUUGUGCUUCUGACAGAAUCUACACCAUCAAGUUCAUACGGAACGGCCAAAAGAAGAUAUGUUAAUAGCUCGGGUCCUCCUGUUCCAGGGGUACCAGUACAGCGCAGGGCCAGUAAUAACAGGUCGCCUAAAGCAGGUCCGCCCGGGCCGGUUUACAGCAGUGAGAAUGUUAACUAGCAGAUGACUAUUAUUAGUGAGAAACAAACAGCUGAAUAAAGUUUUAAAAUA